UACAGAGGGUGCAAACGUUGUUCGGAAUUACUGGGCGUAAGCGUGUGUAGGCGGCCUCGUAGGUCGGAUGUGAAAGCUCUCGGCUCAACCGGGAAAGUGCAUUCGAAACCGAACAAGGCUUGAGUGUCGGAGAGGAAGGCGGAAUUGUCGGUGUAGAGGUGAAAUUCGUAGAUAUCGACAGGAACACCUGCGGCGAAAGCGGACCUUCGUCG
rnacentral:rRNA from 1 species